rnacentral:rRNA from 1 species
AGAAUCAACGCUGGCGGCGUGCCUAACACAUGCAAGUCGAACGAGAAAGUGGAGCAAUCCAUGAGUAAAGUGGCGACCGGGUGAGUAGCACGUGACUAACCUACCUUCGAGUGGGGGAUAACCUCGGGAAACCGAGGCUAAUACCGCAUAACAUCGUGAGAUCAAAGCAGUAAUGCGCUGGAAGAGGGGGUCGCGGCUGAUUAGUUAGUUGGCGGGGUAAUGGCCCACCAAGACAGUGAUCUGUA